CAGCACUGAUUAUAGCUCCCUAGAAGAAAUCUUCAAAUCCAGCCAAAGAUUUUUUAACGCUUCCCUCUCAGAUGCCCAUUGCAAGGCUGAAAGCUGGAUCUUCUUGUUCACUGCAGGUUCUCAAAAAGGAGGGGGAGAGGUGUGAGUGAAUGUCUCUGUGGGCUGAGCUGCUGCCAGGGUGAACCUACAACAUGACACAGCAGCUGAGACUUCCAGCUCACCCGAGGGAUCCUCCCAGUUGACUAGGAAAAGGAUGCCUUUGUGCCUUCAAAUGGGAGUUAACCAAGAACAGUUGAGGCA